GGCUGAGUCUCCGGGGUGAAGAGAAAUAAGAAUAGCGAAAGGGACGGCGGCGGGCUGGUGGGAAGAAGGGAUGCUGGGAUAUUUAUAGGAACAGCUGUUCGUCGACGGGACUGUUAACCGUGCGCAUUUACACAGGAGUCCUCACAGCGGGUCCUUUCACGAGUUUCUCAGCUUACAGUGUCUAGGACGAUGUUACGCCUCCAGAUGAAGUUUCUAAGUAUCUGCAUCGGUAGAAUAUAGCGGUGUGUCCUACAUGCAGUGUUCACGCCGCAACUUCACUUUCUGGACUGAUUGCAAGCCGAGCGAUUGCAUUGAAUCGGGGUAAAACGAGUCUAUGGGUGCAUUCGCAUCGGAAUCGGUUCUAGUAACUGAAAAAGUAAAACCGGCUACGUUUAUAUAGCGUAAGUGAUAUCUGGUGCACGAGGGUCAAGAACGAGUUGUUCGGUACUAUCGCGCGCACGUCCUCUUUAUCUUCAAACUAAAAAGCAAUUUAUAACUGAAUUGGCCGAAGCUGCAAUUUUAUUUGAAUAGUAAAGUAAAAGUAUCGAUUAUGUUGAAUACAUCCGUAUCCGGAUAUAUACGUAUACUUAUCAUUAUGGAACUCAAAUAUUUUUUAUUUUAAUUUUUGGUUUAAAUUUUUCUAUGUCUAUAAUAAUAAUCUUCUUAACAUUUGUAUCGGUUUAUGUAUAUUUUGUUUCAAAACGUUUUGAAUACUCUUUUUAUGUAAUUUGGAACGCAGUCAAAGUGAUCUAAUGAGAGAAUUAACCCUUAAAGUCCUGAGGUUUUUCUGCCGAUUAAAUUUUAAUGAGGUGUAUGUAUACUGAAAUGUUCUUGGUUGCCAAUGAUAAAUCCGAAAUCAGAAUUACAAAAGUUAAAAUAGCGAAUCCAAUAUGGUGACCAGUAAAUAUUUAAAUUUUAUAAAUUUGAACUAAUCGGGUAAAAAAUUGGUACGUACAGUUUUUUAGUCGUUGAUGACAAAUCCGAGAUCAAAAUUGCAAAAUUCAAAAUGGCGGAUUCAAUAUGACUGUCAAGAAGUAUCGUAAUUUAACAAUUAUGAACGAAUUUCCUGUUAAAUGAAUAUAUAGAGCUUUCUAGUCGUUGAUAAAUAUAAAGUCUAAAUUAUAAAA